rnacentral:rRNA from 1 species
CGGGGGGGGCAAGCGUUGUUCGGAGUUACUGGGCGUAAAGGGCUUGUAGGCGGCCAACUAAGUCCGACGUGAAAUCCCCAGGCUUAACCUGGGAACUGCGUCGGAUACUGGAUGGCUUGAAUCCGGGAGAGGGAUGCGGAAUUCCAGGUGUAGCGGUGAAAUGCGUAGAUAUCUGGAGGAACACCGGUGGCGAAGGCGGCAUCCUGGACCGGCAUUGACGCUGAAAAGCGAAAGCCAGGGGAGCAAACGGGAUUAGAUACCCCGGUAGUCCUGGCCCUAAACGAUGAAUGUUUGGUGUGGCGGGUAUCGAUCCCUGCCGUGCCGAAGCUAACGCAUUAAACAUUCCGCCUGGGGAGUACGGUCGCAAGGCUG